rnacentral:tRNA from 1 species
GCCGAAAUAGCCCAGUUGGGAGAGCGUUAGGCUGAAGAUCUAAAGGUCCCUGGUCUAAAGGUCCCUGGUUCGAUCCCGGGUUUCGACA